rnacentral:rRNA from 1 species
UACGUAGGGUGCAAGCGUUGUCCGGAAUUAUUGGGCGUAAAGAGCUUGUAGGCGGUUUGUCGCGUCUGCUGUGAAAUUUCGGGGCUCAACCCCGAACUUGCAGUGGGUACGGGCAGACUAGAGUGUGGUAGGGGAGACUGGAAUUCCUGGUGUAGCGGUGAAAUGCGCAGAUAUCAGGAGGAACACCGGUGGCGAAGGCGGUGGUCUGGGCCGGAACUGACGCUGAGGAGCGAAAGCGUGGGGAGCGAACAGG